UGGAGCGUGUGGUUUAAUUCGAUGCUACACGAAGAACCUUACCAGGGCUUGACAUGUUAGAAGUAGGGACCCGAAAGGGCGACGACCUGUAUCCAAUCAGGAGCUUUCACAGGUGCUGCAUGGCUGUCGUCAGCUCGUGCCGUGAGGUGUUGGGUUAAGUCCCGCAACGAGCGCAACCCUCGUGCUAUGUUGAUUUCUCAUAGCAGACUGCCUUGUACAGCAAGGAGGAAGGUGGGGAUGACGUCAAGUCAGCAUGGCCUUUAUAUCUUGGGCA
rnacentral:rRNA from 1 species